GAAUAGUUUUAUGGAAGCUGCUAACUUCCUAUUAGCUGAUGGCUGCUAUAAG
rnacentral:tRNA from 1 species